GUUCAGGACAACUGAGGCGCUGAAUAAAACCAAGGGAGAGCACCUACAGCCCACCCAAACGUCAGCGCUGGUCCCCGGGGCCUCCUCAUACGAACCGGGGAGAAUCCCUAUGGACAGAGAAGCCUGACGGGCUACAGUCCGUGAGAGUCGGACAUGACUGAAACUACUGAGCAAGUUCAGAUGUGAGACUGGGUUUUCUGCGCGUGUCAGACGCCUCCUGCCUUCAAAACGCGAGCAUCAGCAGUGGUAACACCAAGAGAACUCAAGGCCAGUGUUAUCCAGACAGGGACACAGAGCGGGGUGUGGAUACGGUGAAGCCCUGAGGUUGGCAACAGGAGGAAGCAGAGAUCAGAGAUCAGAUGUCAACUCACAUUUACCCUGAAAACCAAGAGGAAUCACUGGGUUCCUUGGGCUCUGCCUCCCUCACUUGGGGAGCUGGCUGCAUUGAUGGCCUGGGGAUGGCCCGGGGGUGACCCCGGGCCCCCAUCCCGGUCAGAAUGAGGAGGCCCUGUGCCCACCGCCCAUGCCUCCCAGUUCUCUCUUCCCAGCAGAAACUGACAUGAUGUGUCGGAUCCCUAGACAGAGAGGGAUCUGGAAUGAAUGGUCAGGACACUUUGUACGAACGAUGUACAAACAGAACACUGUCGGGACCUUUAUGGAAUUUCCCCCUCAUUU